rnacentral:rRNA from 1 species
GACGAACGCUGGCGGCGUGCUUAACACAUGCAAGUCGAACGGAAAGGCCCUGCUUUUGUGGGGUGCUCGAGUGGCGAACGGGUGAGUAACACGUGAGUAACCUGCCCUUGACUUUGGGAUAACUUCAGGAAACUGGGGCUAAUACCGGAUAGGAGCUCCUGCUGCAUGGUGGGGGUUGGAAAGUUUCGGCGGUUGGGGAUGGACUCGCGGCUUAUCAGCUUGUUGGUGGGGUAGUGGCUUACCAAGGCUUUGACGGGUAGCCGGCCUGAGAGGGUGACCGGCCACAUUGGGACUGAGAUACGGCCCAGACUCCUACGGGAGGCAGCAGUGGGGAAUAUUGCACAAUGGGCGGAAGCCUGAUGCAGCAACGCCGCGUGCGGGAUGACGGCCAUCGGGUUGUAAACCGCUUUCGCCUGUGACGAAGCGUGAGUGACGGUAAUGGGUAAAGAAGCACCGGCUAACUACGUGCCAGCAGCCGCGGUGAUACGUAGGGUGCGAGCGUUGUCCGGAUUUAUUGGGCGUAAAGGGCUCGUAGGUGGUUGAUCGCGUCGGAAGUGUAAUCUUGGGGCUUAACCCUGAGCGUGCUUUCGAUACGGGUUGACUUGAGGAAGGUAGGGGAGAAUGGAAUUCCUGGUGGAGCGGUGGAAUGCGCAGAUAUCAGGAGGAACACCAGUGGCGAAGGCGGUUCUCUGGGCCUUUCCUGACGCUGAGGAGCGAAAGCGUGGGGAGCGAACAGGCUUAGAUACCCUGGUAGUCCACGCUGUAAACGGUGGGUACUAGGUGUGGGGUCCAUUCCACGGGUUCCGUGCCGUAGCUAACGCUUUAAGUACCCCGCCUGGGGAGUACGGCCGCAAGGCUAAAACUCAAAGGAAUUGACGGGGCCCCGCACAAGCGGCGGAGCAUGCGGAUUAAUUCGAUGCAACGCGUAGAACCUUACCUGGGUUUGACAUGGAUCGGGAGUGCGCAGAGAUGGGUGUGCCUCUUUUGGGGUCGGUUCACAGGUGGUGCAUGGCUGUCGUCAGCUCGUGUCGUGAGAUGUUGGGUUAAGUCCCGCAACGAGCGCAACCCUUGUUCACUGUUGCCAGCACGUUAUGGUGGGGACUCAGUGGAGACCGCCGGGGUCAACUCGGAGGAAGGUGGGGAUGACGUCAAGUCAUCAUGCCCCUUAUGUCCAGGGCUUCACGCAUGCUACAAUGGCUGGUACAGAGAGUGGCGAGCCUGUGAGGGUGAGCGAAUCUCGGAAAGCCGGUCUCAGUUCGGAUUGGGGUCUGCAACUCGACCUCAUGAAGUCGGAGUCGCUAGUAAUCGCAGAUCAGCAACGCUGCGGUGAAUACGUUCCCGGGGCU